rnacentral:pre_miRNA from 1 species
AGUGUCAGAGGGGUAAACAAUGCAUCACCGAGUAUUGCUGACACCUCUGGCAUUAA